GCGCGCUCGCUACCCCGACGCUACGCUGGCCGCCGAGCCCCUGCCGCCCGGGCCCCACCUCCGCGGCGAGCUCGGGGACCCCCUGGGCUGGGGAGGCAGCGGGAGCGGGCGGCUAGGGUCGCCGGGAAGAGCGAAGCGGGCGCGGGCGCGGGCUCGGGAGGCGCAGGAGGGAAGGCCAACCCUCCCGGCCUCGCCCAGACGCCCGCGCGUCCUUCCCUAGGAAGCGGCGGCCCGCCUCGCCCCCCGCGCCGCCGCCGCCGCCGCAGCCGAGGUUCCCUGAAGGUCUGCGCCCGGUGGCGAGAGCAGUCACCGGGGCGUCCCUGCAGCGAGCGGCCGCCAACGGCAACACGCGCCCGGCGCGCCCGCUUCUCGCCGCCACCUUGGCCCUGCCGCGCCCACCGCCCGGAUGGCGCGCCUGUAAUUUUUCCCUACUGAGAUCAGCUUUGUCAGAUCAACAAGAAACUGAUGAGUAUUUUUGUUCUGUGAAUAUCUUAAAAAGGUCUACAGAGGAGACCCAAGAAAUGGUGGCGCGAGAAUGUGAGCGGCAAACUUCAGUAGAUUCCCUGAGGAGGGAAGUGGCAUUGUUGCAAGACGUGGCAGGAUAACACGAGCUGCAGACUUCUGUGGAUUCCCUGAGGAGGGAGAUGGCCUGGAUGCGGGAGGAGGCAGCACGAGAGCGCCCGCAGCAAGGGGCCAUUGGAGAUGAGAUGGGAGUGCUUCCAGGUGUUGCGAAGGAGGAAGAGGCCAUGAAGGAAAAGGACGAACCCCUGAGUGAGGCACAGGUGGAGGCAGCACGAGAACGUCAGCUGCACAGCAUUGAGCUUAAGGGUCCCAGCUUCUGAACACACUUCCAUGGGUGAGAGGGCCGCCUUCUCAGCCCCACUGUGACGGUGCUCGCCUGCUCUGCAGACGUCAGUGGGGAGUGAUGGGGUCUGGCGCUUCAUGGAGGGAACAGCAGAUGGGAGUCCCCACCGCCUCCUUGUGCGUGUUAUUGGUUGGUGUGCUUCCCAGACUCAAGUUGAAACCAAUGCAUCAGGCUUAACCCAGCACCUGGAAGGUUUCGCUGCAGGAGGAAGUCCUUCCUGCUGCUGUGGUAGAAAAUGCAGCUUCCCCUGGGCGUUACUAUUCUGAGAAGAGGUUUAGGACCUGGGACAUCUUCCUGUUUACGUACUCCUCAGGUACGAUCGUUUAAUUGUAAAAGCAUGUAAUUAUAUAAUGUGUACAAUAAUUAAUACAUGCAUAUCAAAUUAAUAAUAUGAAAAUAUUAUCAUUUAAGUACAGUUCUUAGUUCCUUAGGCAAGCAAGUACAUCGCGGAUGCACAGGUGAAUUUAAAGUACCCCUCAUAGUAAUACAAGAGCUACACUCAGGCAGGAGGUGAUGCAGGGACACUGGCACGAGUCGUGUCUAUAUAUAUGUUUCCUCUGAAGCGCAGGCAGGACGCCGUCAUCUCCCUUCUCAGCAGAGCUCAGUGGCGUCCGACUGCACCAGGGCACCUGUGCCCGGAGCCCUGCCAGCUGCCUUUCCUCCUCCUGCAUUCCAAGGUGUUCCUCGUCCUUCACGUACCCUUGGCUGCAAGCUCGUCUGGCCUGUUUGCUGUUCCCCCGGAGGUCAUGCUUUGUGUCUCUAGCCUUUGGUCGGUGAGGGAUACCUUUUAACUCCUUAUUUGCUUAUAAGAGCCUAUUAACCCCACAAGCCUGAGUUCAAAUGCCUUCUCUUUCAUGAAACCUUUCUCAGUCCUACUAAGAAUCAAUCAUUUUUUCCUCUCUCUUCCUCAUUGCUGGCCUACUGUGUGUACCGCUUUACCCAUGUGGGCCUCUCUUAUUUAUAUCUGGCUGGUUUGUUCAUCUCUCCAUACCGUCACUCAACAAUACUUUUCUGAAAGCCUGUCUGUCGCUGGCACUAUGCAAGGAUAUGGGGAUGUAAUGGGAAGCAGAAAGCAGACAUGGUGCCUGUGCUCCGGGAGCUCACGGUCUUCGGGUGGAGGGGGGCAGUAAGAGCACAAUGAAACCCCAAAGCUAAACCCGCAGCUGUGACCAGAGUGAGGGAGAUGGGCAGAUUGGUGUGCGUGUGUGUGACUGCAGUCUCCUUAGUGUCAGGGACAGCCUCUGGCUUGGUGGAGCCGGCAGUCAGAUAAGUCAGCUAUGGCAUGUAAUGAGGUACAUGCUCUCUGUCACGGGUUGAUCUGUGUACCCCCAAAAGAUACGUGGAAGUCUUAGGUCCAGUACCUGUGAACAUGACUGGAGUAGGGUUUUUGCAAGUGCAACCAAGUGAAGAUGAGGUCACCCUCGAUUCGAAUGGGCCCUUAUCCAGGAUGACUUCUGUCCAGUAAGGGGAGGAGACAAGACACAGACAGACACGGGGGAGAUGGCUGUGGGAAGACAGAGGCCAAGACUGGAGUGGUGAGUUCACGAGCCGAGGAGUGCCAGGGGGAGGCGUCACCACCUCAAGCUAGAGGAGACAGACUGGAACAGAUUCUCCUUCCAGCCUCCGGAAGAAACCCUCUCUGACUACACCUGGACUUCAGACUUCCAGCCUCCAGAACAGUGCAGGAAUAGCAUCCUGGCCCUUCGGUCUCCAGCCCCUGCGUCCUCGGGCAUUUUUUGCUUGUCUCUCUGGUUGAAAUGGUUCACUUCAAGAUGGAGCGGCAAUGACACCUUUUCCCCUUUGCUUGUUGUUAACAAUGGGUAGAGAAGGAGAGGACCAAGAUGUGCAGGGACACCUGUAAGUGACACGAGUCAGUUACUUACUCAUCCGGGAUGCUGCCCCCCUUCUUCUUGGAGUCCCUUCCCCUCCUGUUGCUUCCCAAAUCCUUGCACUUGGCCAUCACAAUGCCACUUCUGUGGCACCUCCUCAAGUCUCCCAAAUCUCCAUUGCAUCAUUUUCCUAUAUGACGUUUUAUUUCGGUGGGUUUUCCCAAGCAGAUUGUGAGUCCAUGGGGGACAGGGAACCACACUACCCCAGUGAGUACCAAGGAACUACCUCUUGAAUAAGUGUUGCAAUAAAUGAGUGAAUGAGCAAAUGAAAUUCCCGGAGCUGAGUUAGGCCAGGAACACCCCGUCUUUUUGCAGGCACUUCCAGUCUUACACACCUAAGACCAUAUCCAUGAAACUCUGUGGUGGGUCCCUAAGCGAAUCGCAGGAGGCAGGCACAGGACGGCAGCGGCAGCUUGGAGAAGGUCAGCUCUGCUUGGGUCUCCUAGUCUUGUUGUGAGUGGAGAAUUGAGUCAGUGUUUUCACAGGCUCGGCUCUUGAGACCGUUGAUCCGAGGUGCCAAGCAGAGGUGGCAGGGUCAUAGCCGAACGGGUUGGGCCAGGCUGACAGCCUUGGCUCUUGGUACAGAGGGAUAAGGCUGAAGGGGAGGUUCUACUCAGAAAUCUUUGAUGCCCAAAGUCCACAGGUUGCAUUAAGGGAUGUGGUUGUCAGGCAACCCCAGCAACCAAGAGCAUGGUGGUCCUCACGUCUGGACAGUGGGGUUCAUUUAUUUCUCACCCAUGUGUCUAGUGUUUAUGAAUGGCCUGUGACAUGGCACCAAGCAUUCUGCAUUUACUGAGCACCUAAAACUGUUGGGAUACUAUAUGUCAGUUGGCCUCGGUACCUCUGUGUAUUCCAUCCCGACCCCAGCACCUCCUGUGCUGCCUCCCCGGGUCAGUGAGAAGCACGCAUACCAUGGCGAGAGAAGCCUGUUCUCAGGGCACUCGGGUCAUGGAGCAGAACCAAGGCAAAAUAUAGCAUGGAGCAGUUAAUUUAGUGCAAUAAACAAUUUAUUGGAGGGAAUGGAUUCUCAGAUAGAACUGUUGGUGUUUGUUCUCCAGAUGAGGGCGGUGGAUUUGCUGCCCUCAGGGCAAUAGAGCCGCUCUCUGCGCAGGUGUGGUUUUCCUCAUGGUUGAGGUGUUGGGACCCUUUUUCUCCCAUCUCUUCCCCAAGCCAGAACCCUGCUUUGUGGAAACAUGGCUGUUGUUUCACAAUAUUACUAUUAUUAAAGUAAUAUUUACACUAUUAGAAUUAUUUUUAUUAGCAAGAAUACUGUCUUCUGGAAUAUCCAUCCAAUGAAAAAAUGCACAAUUACAGACUUUUCUUUCCGGGACUGAUAGGUGAGGAAAACAGAUGUGGGCUGUUUCUGGAAGCCUCUCUGCCACUAAUUCUGUGUGUCACAUGUCAGGUCACCUAAUCUCUCACAUCCACACUUUUCCUAAUCUUUGAGCAGGUUGAAGUUGAGCAUCUAUAAAUUGUGUGAUUUUGGCUAUGUGUAGUUCUGGCUUUUUUUUUUUUUGGUAAGCUAAAUAUUUGUAAACAGUACCACAAAUAAUACUAAAGUGAAUUUUUCAAAAUUGGACAAGCUGGAAUCCUUAGAGGUAAUGUCCCUGGUUUUGAAUUUAUAAACUACCUGCUGGUAAGACUCUCUUAAGUGGUUUCUAAACAUUUGUGUUCUUACUUCCUUCAUUUUCAAAACACUGUCUCUGUGGUUGCAAAGCGAUUUCCCUGAAAUGUAAUAUCCUGUUCUGUGUAGCCUGCUGGGAGUAUGCAAGACCCACGGGAAGUUAAGCAUGCACACAUCUUGAAGGUGAGGAGUACAGUGAAUGGCACUCUGUGGCCCCACACCCUCGUGUUGAGGCCUCAGUGAUGCCGUGAGUAUCCAGGGAAGUGCCCCGUGCGGGGGCUGCUGGAUUCCGGCCAGAAACCGGAACUCGGGUACAUGUCUCCUGGGAGAGCCAAGGUAGUCACGGUUGUCAGAGGCGCACAGGGGAUGCCACUGCAGCAAUGAACUGGGCCUUGUGCCUUUCCUGCUGAAAAAGGGGGGCAAUUUGUUACGUUUCAACACAGUAGACAAAGGAAACUGGUGAAUUUACUGGAUGUAUUUUAGAAAUUUGAAAAUUGAUGAUGAAACGAGAAAGAGACCCCAGUUACAGGAAGAGUCCUGGCACAAAAGGUUGAAAGCUUGUAGUGACAUAGAUCUUCUGGCCUGCUGGCCGCCCACCAGGAACAGGGCCAUCCGGGCAAACACAUCCCGGGCGGUUUGCGUCUGUAGUAGCUGAAUCUCCUCCGUGACUUCAGUUUUCUGGGGCUCAUCAGAAAGCAGCUGUUCUGGGUAGUUCCCUCUAGUUCCAACUUCUUUAAAAAUUGAAAAUGGAAAUAUUUAAACUGAUAUACUACAGGCAGUUACAUAGACAUUUCUUAUAAAAAUAACAUCUGAUAAUUUUGGAAGGAGUAGAAAAACGCAGAAGGAACUCACAAUUGGUAA